rnacentral:rRNA from 1 species
CAGGUGCUGCAUGGCUGUCGUCAGCUCGUGCCGUGAGGUGUUGGGUUAAGUCCCGCGAACGAGCGCAACCCUACUCUUUAGUUGCCAUCAGUUCGGCUGGGCACUCUAUGGAGACUGCCACCUAAAGUGGAGGAAGGUGGGGAUGACGUCAAGUCAGCAUGGCCCUUACGUCCGGGGCGUACACACGUGCUACAAUGGCCGGUACAAAGGGUUGCGAAGCCGUGAGGUGGAGCAAAUCUCAAAAAGCCGGCCUCAGUUCGGAUUGGAGGCUGCAACUCGCCUCCAUGAAGUCGGAAUCGCUAGUAACCGCAGAUCAGCUACGUUGCGGUGAAUACGUUCCCGGGCCUU